GGUUCUACAUCAGCAAACAUGUGGUCAUCAAAGCAGCUGAAGGAGUCAUGUUCUUCUAUAACUGUGAGGUUCAUGAAGGAGAAGAUAAAGGUAUUGUUGUUAUCACUCUGAAGAUCCUGGGAAUUUUAAUGCUCUGCUCUACCAUCAUCAUCUUUGAGGGGUGGUUUAGAUCAAGAUUCUCCAAAAAACAAGAGACGGACACAGAGGAAGCAGACRACGUCAACAGAGUGACUGAGCUUUAAGCAUCAUGAGCUACAAAGAGACAACAAAGAUGUCCUGAUCCUUUAAAAAAAAUCAGAUUUCUGUUGUUUAUGUAGUAAAAUGUGACUUUACAUGACUGGACAUAUUAUUUUCAAAGCUAAAACAAAAGUCAACAUCUGCAGGGAUUUUUCUGUUCAGUUGUUCACUGUACAUUGUUUCAUUGCUUCUUAACAUAUCUGAUUUAUGCUAAUCUACAUAGCCUGGUUAAAACCAGACCRUGUCCUUCACUUUGCUUUGUAUAGGGUCUUGACUUGAUGCGUAGAGAAGUGAUUCUUGCAGGAGGCGWGGCCUCUGCUGAAGCAUGUGUGUGUUGUCGGUGUGACGGAGGCUAAGCU